GAUCUGGCUCAGGACGAACGCUGGCGGCGUGCCUAAUACAUGCAAGUCGAGCGAAUGAUUAGAGAAGCUUGCUUCUCUCUGAUUAGCGGCGGACGGGUGAGUAACACGUGGGUAACCUACCCUAUAGACUGGGAUAACUUCGGGAAACCGGAGCUAAUACCGGAUAAUACUUCGAAACACAUGUUUUGAAGUUGAAAGAUGGUUUCGGCUAUCACUAUAGGAUGGACCCGCGGCGCAUUAGCUAGUUGGUGAGGUAACGGCUCACCAAGGCAACGAUGCGUAGCCGACCUGAGAGGGUGAUCGGCCACACUGGGACUGAGACACGGCCCAGACUCCUACGGGAGGCAGCAGUAGGGAAUCUUCCACAAUGGACGAAAGUCUGAUGGAGCAACGCCGCGUGAAGUGAAGAAGGAUUUCGGUUCGUAAAACUCUGUUGCAAGGGAAGAACAAGUAGCGUAGUAACUGGCGCUACCUUGACGGUACCUUGUUAGAAAGCCACGGCUAACUACGUGCCAGCAGCAGC
rnacentral:rRNA from 1 species